GAGAGCGAAGCGGGGGGCGUUUUUGGGAUCUCUGGAGGGCGGAGCGGAGCGGCGGCGGCGGGACGGGGAGAGCCGCUCGGCCCUAAGGUUCGCGCUGUGUAGAGUGUCCCUCCGGCGGCCCGCGCCUCCGCUACCACCGGCUCGACGCCGCGCUGCUGUACCGCCUCCUCCGCCCCUGGUAGGCGCUGAGGCACCGCAAGGCCGAGCAGCUCGCGCACGAGGUCAGGCACGCCUACCUCGGCAAAGAUUAACGGGGCAUACUAGACCUCGUUAUAUCCUACUACCAUCCGUGAGAUCUGUGGUCGUCCUGUUUCUUAGCACUGCUGCUCCGAAACAUACACUGCAUAAACUUCCGUAACAGUCUUCGUCAUAGGUUUUAUCUGUAGUGCAUGGUAGUAAGCGAAAACUUGUUAUAUAAACGACAGGCGUAGACCAUGAACGUUUCUCUAUGUUACCAACGAAAUAACCUGGAUUAUUGGUCUAACCGACGUCACCGUCUAGUCAUAGAGUCUCUUACAAACGUCUACGAGCACUUGUUGAAGUGAGGCGGAUAACAACUUGCGUUACUCCACGGAUGUACCCGUCAGAGCUCCUUCUUCCUAUAAAAAAGAGUAGACACGCCCUCAAACUUUUGCUAGAGGCUAUGACAUGGGAAUCGUGGUUCCUACAAUUCCCUAUAUUAUCUAGCCUCAUACGGCUUCAAUAAACUAUUGUUUCGAUUCUACUAGAGCAAACAGCUCACGUACAACCCUGAUCUAUGACUGUCUUACCCCCUAGAAUAGCCUCGAUAAAACGACCGGUUUCAACAACUAGAAGAAUGUCUUAACCUACAAUUAUAUUGGACCCUUCUAUAAGAAGUUCUCCUUGUACUGUUUCCAUAUAAACUUUACCUCGAACUUCUAAACCUACGGCUACUACUACCCCUACCGAAACCUGUUCGUCCUUGUUUCCAGACAGACCCUCCUUUACGUACACGACUUUUCGAACUACCAAAUUACCAACAACAUACGCUCGUGGAAUUCAGUAAUCUAGCAGUCGCAGAUAUAUUCCUUAAACAGUAAGACUUUUGAUAUAAAGCUCGUAGAGACGACUCCCACGUGUCUAGUUUUAAACGGGUCAAAUAGUACAAGAUAUGGACGAGUGACCUAGGAUUUUGGGAACCACUCCCAAAACGACAAAAAGAAUGGCUGUAACAAUGCCUCUUCUUUCUCCUAGGUUAAAGUUCUUACAGACGUCAAAGUAUACAACCUUCGAUAAACAGAGCCCGUUCCAAGUAAAGACGACUAUGCCAACAAUGAUAUGAGUUUUUUAAUCAUCUAACCACGCAACUGAUAACACUGGUAGUCUCGUUCUCUCUCCGGUGUGGCUAAGGUUUAGUAGUUAAUAAAAUGCGCUGGACGGUCCGACACUACAUACAGGAAACGAAAGCGAACUCUAGAUAAUACCUAAUAGGUUUAGAAUUUAGUCUAGACAAAGUGUACGGAAAACCUAAAGACAAAGCGGUGGCUGAUCUUGGAGAUUUCCACACGAACGGAAGUUAUCAUUUGCUCAAAGACUCUGUCCGGUUCCUACGGCCUAACCAACGACGUAAACACCUAGGUCGUCGACUUCUACGUUAACUUAGACUAAACAGGUCCUGAAAACCUCCUUAGUUAUCUGAACUGUACAAGAAGGGUAAACUAGGAAUGGACGAUUUUCUUAGACUGUCCAUAUAGGCAGGCUUAAAGCUCAAGACCAGGUACCAGUUCUGUUGCAUAUCGCUACUGUGGCUGCUGCUACUACUACUCGAGCUCCUGGAACUACGGGGACUCUACUUACAACCGUCGGACCUACUAGUACAGCUCUAUCUAUAGUUGUCACUGCUGCUGCUGAACCUCAUGAGCUACUUGUUCUACAGAUAUUGGGGCGUGGUGAGAAAGAAUGUGGUCUACCGGUACCUGUCGCUGCCGCCGGAGUCGUACGGGCGCUCCUAGUCUGGAAGUUGUUCGGGAGGCAGCGCCACCCGGUACAGUCCUCUUAGUGGUAUCUACCUUCUUCGUCGACCUAUGAACCCCGACAUGUUCCUCCCAUACUGACAGUUUGACUAUGCCCCGCGAAUCAAACAUCACCCCAGUUUGUUGGGUAAGUAAACGUCACAUAAGUCGGGUUCAUCAAGCUUUAAAAACCCAACUUUCACACUUCAUGUCUACAACAAUCUUUUGCAUCAACUCACCAACAUUCUAAUAUAUAUAUGACGUCGAUCCGAACAAACUCAUACUGCUAGUACAAGACUACAUCUUGCCAAACAGCUGUCCAAGAGAGUGACCUUGUCGUAGCCGUAGCCGUACUCAACAAUGCCUUUGUCCGGUGUGUUGUCCUCAUAUAGAACAACUAUCUUCUUACAUCCAACACACCCAACACACCGGACAAAGGCUUUUCGGUAACGGAAAUAUAAAACCUUAAACCUGAAAAUACGUACUGGACCUGGCCGAAGUAAAGUAAUCUCUAUCGUUGGACCGCAGCAUGGAGACAACUCUCGGACCUGGCCGCUACCGCUACAGAAACUGCAGCCUGGAGAUAACUCUCGUAGUACCCACUUCUGAACCGGACCUCCAAGAUACAACACCAAGAAGCCGCGAACGCCGACCAGGCUUAUCUAGAAGAAGCCGCGAUACGUACGGACACGGCCACACAGGUUCUGCUACCGACAGAGUCCUGGCUGACUCAGAGCGGUAGAGGAACGUAAGUUCCCACCAACCACGUAGCCAUUUCCUUCAGAUCACCAUCAACAACGAGAAACACCACUGGUCACAACCAACUCUGCCGAAACAACAGGAUAAAUCCCGUUCAAAGAAACGCAACACAAACAUUACACACGCCACCGAAUAAAAAUCUAAUCGAACUCACACCUCAAACAUGAUGUGAACAAAAAGC
rnacentral:rRNA from 1 species